UACGUAGGGCGCAAGCGUUGUCCAGAAUUAUUGGGCGUAAAGAGCUCGUAGGCGGCUUGUCACGUCGAUUGUGAAAGCCCGAGGCUUAACCUCGGGUCUGCAGUCGAUACGGGCUAGCUAGAGUGUGGUAGGGGAGAUCGGAAUUCCUGGUGUAGCGGUGAAAUGCGCAGAUAUCAGGAGGAACACCGGUGGCGAAGGCGGAUCUCUGGGCCAUUACUGACGCUGAGGAGCGAAAGCGUGGGGAGCGAACAGG
rnacentral:rRNA from 1 species